rnacentral:lncRNA from 10 species
AUGGCCACCACACAUGUGAAAAGAUGCUCAACAUCACUAAUCAUCAAGGGAAAUGCAAAUCAAAACCACAAUAGCACAAUGAGAUAUCAUUUCAGACCCCGUAUGAUGUUAGGAUGGCUACUUUCAAAAAAACAGAAAAUAAGUGUUGGUAAGGAAACACCUGCACACUGUUGAUGGGAUUAUAAAAUGGGCAGCCACUAUGGAAAAUAGUAUGGAGGUUCCUAAAAAAACUGCAAUUAGAAUUCCCAUAUGAUCCAGUCAUCUCCUACUGCAUAUAUAUCCAAAAGAAUUGAAAGCAGGAUCUUGAAAAGAUAUCUGCUCUCCUAUGUUCAUGCAGCAUUAUUCACAACAGCCAAGAUGUAGAGGUGAUUCAAAUGUCCAUCAGUGAAUGAAUAGAUAAAGAAAUGUGGUAUAUACAUACAAUGGAAUCUUAGCCUAAAAAAGAAAGAAUUCCUGUCAUAUGCUACAGCAUGGAUGAACCUUGAGGACCUUAUGGAGCGGUCCUAAUCUGCAUAUCCAAGAGCAAUGUAUGUGAACCUACGUUUCCACAGCCUCACCCACAGAAUGUGUGCUCAAACAUUUGGAUUUUUGCCCAUCUACUAGAUCUCACCCCACAGGCCUUGGAAACCUGAGGCAGUAUUCUUCUGGGAUGUUUCCAACUAGGCUUCCCAUGAGG